rnacentral:rRNA from 1 species
UUGAACGCUGGCGGCAGGCCUAACACAUGCAAGUCGAACGGUAACAGGAAGAAGCUUGCUUCUUUGCUGACGAGUGGCGGACGGGUGAGUAAUGUCUGGGAAACUGCCUGAUGGAGGGGGAUAACUACUGGAAACGGUAGCUAAUACCGCAUAACGUCGCAAGACCAAAGAGGGGGACCUUCGGGCCUCUUGCCAUCGGAUGUGCCCAGAUGGGAUUAGCUAGUAGGUGGGGUAACGGCUCACCUAGGCGACGAUCCCUAGCUGGUCUGAGAGGAUGACCAGCCACACUGGAACUGAGACACGGUCCAGACUCCUAAGGGAGGCAGCAGUGGGGAAUAUUGCACAAUGGGCGCAAGCCUGAUGCAGCCAUGCCGCGUGUAUGAAGAAGGCCUUCGGGUUGUAAAGUACUUUCAGCGGGGAGGAAGGGAGUAAAGUUAAUACCUUUGCUCAUUGACGUUACCCGCAGAAGAAGCACCGGCUAACUCCGUG